rnacentral:rRNA from 1 species
AGGACGAACGCUGGCGGCGUGCUUAACACAUGCAAGUCGAGCGGAAAGGCCCUUCGGGGUACUCGAGCGGCGAACGGGUGAGUAACACGUGAGUAAUCUGCCCCUAGCUCUGGGAUAGCUCCGGGAAACCGGGAUUAAUACCAGAUACGACCACUUUAGACAUCUGCUGUGGUGGAAAGAAUUUCGGCUAGGGAUGAGCUCGCGGCCUAUCAGCUUGUUGGUGAGGUAACGGCUCACCAAGGCGACGACGGGUAGCCGGCCUGAGAGGGCGACCGGGCCACGACUGGGACUGAGACACGGCCCAGACUCCUACGGGAGGCAGCAGUGGGGAAUAUUGGACAAUGGGCGCAAGCCUGAUCCAGCCAUGCCGCGUGAGUGAUGACGGCCUUAGGGUUGUAAAGCUCUUUCGCUCGGGACGAUAAUGACGGUACCGAGAUAAGAAGCCCCGGCUAACUUCGUGCCAGCAGCCGCGGU